GAAAGAGGGGGACCCGCGAGGGCCUCUCGCGAGCGGAGCGGCCGAUGACUGAUUAGCUAGUUGGUAAGGUAAAGGCUUACCAAGGCGACGAUCAGUAGCUGGUCUGAGAGGACGACCAGCCACACUGGGACUGAGACACGGCCCAGACUCCUACGGGAGGCAGCAGUGGGGAAUUUUGGACAAUGGGCGCAAGCCUGAUCCAGCUAUUCCGCGUGUGGGAAGACGGCCUUCGGGUUGUAAACCACUUUUGUAGAGAACGAAAAGUCUGUUGAUAAUACCGAUAGAUGAUGACGGUACUCUAAGAAUAAGCACCGGCUAACUACGUGCCAGCAGCCGCGGUAAUACGUAGGGUGCGAGCGUUAAUCGGAAUUACUGGGCGUAAAGGGUGUGCAGGCGGUUUUGCAAGAUGGAUGUGAAAGCCCCGGGCUUAACCUGGGAAAGCCAUACAUGACUGCAAGACUAGAGUGCGUCAGAGGGGGGUGGAAUUCCAAGUGUAGCAGUGAAAUGCGUAGAUAUUUGGAAGAACACCGAUGGCGAAGGCAGCCCCCUGGGACGCAACUGACGCUCAUACACGAAAGC
rnacentral:rRNA from 1 species